AUAGCAGUGACACACCACAUAUACGGUGCGCCAUUAAUGUUCAUAUUAGCUAUAGUCAUUUUUCUAGUAAUGCGUUGUUGAUUCAUCUCAAGGUAUGGUGGAUGCAUGCUUAUAGCAGUGGCGCACCACAUAUACGGUGUGCCAUUAAUGUUCAUAUUAGCUAUAGUCAUUUUUCUAGUAAUGCGUUGUUGAUUCAUCUCAAGGUGUGGUGGAUGCAUGCUUUCGACUUUUUAGUUGCUGCUUGGAGGUUUGAUAGAGAACAAAUGAAGCAACAGAUCAUGUCAUGACUAAUAUAUGAUCAUGUGGUGCAUUUGCUGAACGAAUUGUCGGGGUACACAAAAUAGCUGCUUCGCUUUUGAUAUUUUCAGUUUGUUUCAUAAAUGUUCAGUUCAGAUGCUCAUAACUUUUCAGGUUCUGUCAAAGCUGUUUAGUUCAGAUUCUGAUAUUUUGUAUGUACAGUAUGCAAAAUGAGUCCAGCUACACGUACGACGAAUUUCAUAUGAUUUACAUACGACAGUCAGCGGCAGCCGUUCGUUGAACCACACGGACGAGUUGGGGGAGGCAUGGUCAGCAUUGGUGUUUUGGCGCAAUUACUGGAGAUUACUGUGAAGUUCACAAGGUGAUGAGCUUACUCGAGUGCUUUUCAUUCUUGGAGACUUUGCAUUUCGAGGUUAUGAGAGAAGAUGCUGGAGAGAUGCCCUUACCAAAUUGGAAGGCUACAACCAAAUCUAAUCAGCAGCAUAGCAGUGAUCUUCGAAUAUCUCAGCAAGUGAUCAUCUUUUCAGCGAUUUCUUUUCUGUUUGGCCUUCCUGUAGGUUUGCACAUAAGCGGAAGUUGUACUGUAUAUUAGCAGUCGUUGGAGCCGUGAUGAUGUUUUUUUGUUGCCAAGGUUAUUUGAACAUGGCUAUCAUUUGUUAUAGAUGACCAUCUUUUAAUUGCUACUU